CCUACGGGAGGCAGCAGUAAGGAAUAUUGGUCAAUGGACGAAAGUCUGAACCAGCCAUGCCGCGUGAAGGAUUAAGGCCCUCUGGGUUGUAAACUUCUUUUAUCUGGGACGAAAAAAGGGUAUUCUUGCUCACUUGACGGUACCAGAGGAAUAAGCACCGGCUAACUCCGUGCCAGCAGCCGCGGUAAUACGGAGGGUGCAAGCGUUAUCCGGAUUUACUGGGUUUAAAGGGUGCGUAGGUGGGCUUGUAAGUCAGUGGUGAAAUCUCCGGGCUUAACCCGGAAACUGCCAUUGAUACUAUAGGUCUUGAAUUAUCUGGAGGUAAGCGGAAUAUGUCAUGUAGCGGUGAAAUGCUUAGAUAUGACAUAGAACACCAAUUGCGAAGGCAGCUUACUACGGAUAUAUUGACACUGAGGCACGAAAGCGUGGGGAUCAAACAGGAUUAGAUACCCUGGUAGUCCACGCCCUAAACGAUGGAUACUCGACAUCAGCGAUACACUGUUGGUGUCUGAGCGAAAGCAUUAAGUAUCCACCUGGGAAGUACGAUCGCAAGAUUGAAACUCAAAGGAAUUGACGG
rnacentral:rRNA from 1 species